UACGUAGGGUGCGAGCGUUGCCCGGAUUUAUUGGGCGUAAAGGGCGCGUAGGCGGCUCUGCACGUCCGUUGUGAAAUCGCCCGGCUCAACUGGGCGGGGUCAGCGGAUACGGCAGAGCUCGAGCAAGCUAGGGGGCAAUGGAAUUCCCGGUGUAGUGGUGGAAUGCGUAGAUAUCGGGAGGAACACCAGUGGCGAAGGCGGCCUUCUGGACAGUGACUGACGCUGAGAUGCGAAAGCGUGGGGAGCAAACAGG
rnacentral:rRNA from 1 species